rnacentral:rRNA from 1 species
AAGACCUUGCGCUUUUGGAGCGGCCGAUGUCUGAUUAGCUAGUUGGUAGGGUAAUGGCCUACCAAAGCUUCGAUCAGUAGCUGGUCUGAGAGGACGACCAGCCACACUGGGACUGAGACACGGCCCAGACUCCUACGGGAGGCAGCAGUGGGGAAUUUUGGACAAUGGGCGCAAGCCUGAUCCAGCCAUGCCGCGUGAGUGAAGAAGGCCUUAGGGUUGUAAAGCUCUUUCAGCCGGGAAGAAAAGGCUACGACGAAUAAUCGUAGCUCAUGACGGUACCGGAAGAAGAAGCACCGGCUAACUACGUGCCAGCAGCCGCGGUAAUACGUAGGGUGCGAGCGUUAAUCGGAAUUACUGGGCGUAAAGGGUGCGCAGGCGGUUUUGUAAGUCAGAUGUGAAAUCCCCGGGCUUAACCUGGGAACU